rnacentral:lncRNA from 1 species
UUCUGUAGGAAUAUAGCCACCAUUUUCAAUUCUGACUUUCUUAUUUUUUCAAAGACAGAAACUCUUUGAAAAGAGUUUUGUCAUAUGUGUGGUUUGUACAACCACUGUCAAUCGUCCAAAAAUCAGAUUUCUUAGUUGAAGAAUACGUUGCCACAAAUAAGUGAUCUUCUUCUUCUUCUUUGGUGACUUGGGUAUCUGCUUCAUAUUCUUGAUAUCUGUUUUUGCAAAUAACAGCUUCAUGGCCAAAUUGAUUGAAGAUCUUACAUUCUGCAUCUG